rnacentral:rRNA from 1 species
UAACGCGAAGAACCUUACCAGGUCUUGACAUCCUUUGACCACGCCAGAAAUGGCGCUUUCCCUUCGGGGACAAAGUGACAGGUGGUGCAUGGUUGUCGUCAGCUCGUGUCGUGAGAUGUUGGGUUAAGUCCCGCAACGAGCGCAACCCUUAUUAUUAGUUGCCAUCAUUAAGUUGGGCACUCUAGGNNGACUGCCGGUGACAAACCGGAGGAAGGUGGGGAUGACGUCAAAUCAUCAUGCCCCUUAUGAUUUGGGCUACACACGUGCUACAAUGGACAAUACAAAGGGCAGCUAAACCGCGAGGUCAUGCAAAUCCCAUAAAGUUGUUCUCAGUUCGGAUUGUAGUCUGCAACUCGACUACAUGAAGCUGGAAUCGCUAGUAAUCGUAGAUCAGCAUGCUACGGUGAAUACGUUCCCGGGUCUUGUACACACCGA